rnacentral:rRNA from 1 species
AGCGAACAGGAUUAGAUACCCUGGUAGUCCAUGCCGUAAACGUUGGGCACUAGGUGUGGGGGACAUUCCACGUUUUCCGCGCCGUAGCUAACGCAUUAAGUGCCCCGCCUGGGGAGUACGGCCGCAAGGCUAAAACUCAAAGGAAUUGACGGGGGCCCGCACAAGCGGCGGAGCAUGCGGAUUAAUUCGAUGCAACGCGAAGAACCUUACCAAGGCUUGACAUGGGCCGGACCGGGCUGGAAACAGUCCUUCCCCUUUGGGGCCGGUUCACAGGUGGUGCAUGGUUGUCGUCAGCUCGUGUCGUGAGAUGUUGGGUUAAGUCCCGCAACGAGCGCAACCCUCGUUCCAUGUUGCCAGCGCGUAAUGGCGGGGACUCAUGGGAGACUGCCGGGGUCAACUCGGAGGAAGGUGGGGACGACGUCAAAUCAUCAUGCCCCUUAUGUCUUGGGCUUCACGCAUGCUACAAUGGCCGGUACAAAGGGUUGCGAUACUGUGAGGUGGAGCUAAUCCCAAAAAGCCGGUCUCAGUUCGGAUUGGGGUCUGCAACUCGACCCCAUGAAGUCGGAGUCGCUAGUAAUCGCAGAUCAGCAACGCUGCGGUGAAUACGUUCCCGGGCCUUGUACACACCGCCCGUCAAGUCACGAAAGUUGGUAACACCCGAAGCCGGUGGCCUAACCCCUUGUGGAGGGAG